rnacentral:rRNA from 1 species
UACGUAGGUGGCAAGCGUUGUCCGGAAUUAUUGGGCGUCAAGCGCGCGCCGGCGGUCCCUUAAGUCUGAUGUGAAAGCCCACGGCUCAACCGUGGAGGGUCAUUGGAAACUGGGGGACUUGAGUACAGAAGAGGAAAGCGGAAUUCCACGUGUAGCGGUGAAAUGCGUAGAGAUGUGGAGGAACACCAGUGGCGAAGGCGGCUUUCUGGUCUGUAACUGACGCUGAGGCGCGAAAGCGUGGGGAGCAAACAGG